rnacentral:rRNA from 1 species
GACAGAGGCCACGAACGUUGUUCGGAAUCACUGGGCAUAAAGCGCACGUAGGCGGCUAGGUCCGUCCAAUGUGAAAGCCCCCGGCUCAACCGGGGAAUUGCAUCGGAUACAGCCUGGCUCGAGGACGGUUGGGGUGAGUGGAACUCCUGGUGGAGCGGUGAAAUGCGUAGAUAUCAGGAGGAACACCGGUGGCGAAAGCGGCUCACUGGACCGUUACUGACGCUGAGGUGCGAAAGCUAGGGGAGCAAACGGG